GGCAAAGGUGAGGGCAUGAAGAUGUAUAACUGUCCCAGAUGGGAGAAGAGUACAGUUUACCCCCUCAGGAUUUGAAUCAGAAAGAAGUUGUGGAGCAUACCUGCUGGGAGAGGUCCAUGAAGGUGCAUCUCUGUUUUCCUGCAGACUUCAAACAUGUGCUACCAAGGUGUGCCAAGAUAAGCUCAUGGGACUGUUACAAAGAGCCAUAAUGAAAACAUCUGGAAACACCUCAGACUUCCACAGACUUGUCAGUGAAUAAUCCAGAGAUGGAACUUUGGAAAAAAAAGGGUGAGCCUUCCUCACCUGUUUAUUAUUUUGAAACUCCCACCCCACCUUCCCUGCUUGCAGCCUGUAUUCCCUGCUUGCAUUCACACUGCAUUCCUUCUUGCACACCAUUUGUUCAGGCCUGUUUCCC
rnacentral:lncRNA from 12 species